rnacentral:rRNA from 1 species
GAAAGCGUGGGGAGCAAAUAGGAUUAGAUACCCUAGUAGUCCACGCCGUAAACGUUGAGGACCUGAUGCCGGAGUAUUUCGGUGUCGUAGCUAACGCGUUAAGUCCUCCGCCUGGGUACUACGUUCGCAAGAAUAAAACUUAAAGGAAUUGACGGGGGCCCGCACAAGCAGUGGAGCAUGUGGUUUAAUUCGUCGCUACGCGAAAAACCUUACCAGGGUUUGACAUCCCGCUAAAAGUCUUGGAAACAAGAUCAUAGUUAUAGCGGUGAAAGGUGGUGCAUGGUUGUCGUCAGCUCGUGUCGUGAGAUGUUGGGUUAAGUCCCCUAACGAGCGCAACCCUUGUCUCUAUUUGCCAUCAUUAAGUUGGGAACUAUAGAGAGACUGCCGGUGCAAACCGGAGGAAGAUGGGGAUGACGUCAAAUCAUCAUGCCCCUUAUGCCCUGGGCCACACACGUGCUACAAUGGCCGGUACAGAGAGAAGCAAUCCCGUGAGGAGGAGCAAAUCUCACAAAGCCGGUCUCAGUUCGGAUUGGAGUCUGCAACUCGACUCCAUGAAGCUGGAAUUGCUAGUAAUCGCAGAUCAGCAUUGCUGCGGUGAAUACGUUCCCGGGCCUUGUACACACUGCCCGUCACACCAUGAGAGUCGGCAAUACUCGAAGUCGUUAUCUUAACCCGCAAGGGAGGGAGGCGCCUAAGGUAGGGCUGAUGAUUGGGGUUAAGUCGUAACAAGGUAUCCCUACGGGAACGUGGGGAUG